GGCGAUGUGGUUUUCGUCACCCCUGGUUAUCUGGUUGGCAACGUCCGUGUUUAUCUGCAUUCCCCAUCUCCUCCACAGUAGUUGUUGUGCAGAAAGGAUCUCGAAGGAAUAUUGUGCAACUAUUAGAUAGCGCUUGCUUAUGAUAUAUCUUCUGUUCCACAUAGAAAGUUUAUGGCUACCUAUAGCAAGGCUUUUGUUUCAAUUGAGCUAUUUUUCGACCAGUUAUGGGUACACAAAGUCGGCAUCUUUUUUGACACUUUUUCGCCUCUACAGCUUUCAUGCUUUUGCUAUUCUAGCAGUACCUCAUAUCAUUCCAUAGGUAAUUGAAAGUUCUUUUAUAUUCUGACAAGCUUUUUAGAGUUUAGCUACAAAUGUCUUCAUUAGAGGGAGAAAACAGCAAUUUUAUGAGUAAAAGCGCUAUAACACUCAAAAUAUUAAUUUAAAUAUACCAAAUAAAUAAUAAUUAACAGUGCAAAACAUUGAACUCCUUGAUUGUCGAGUUUCUUUUUCAUCAGAGCACUCUUCUUG